rnacentral:rRNA from 1 species
AUGGAUUUUAGCCCGUCGAUCUUGUGUUGGAAUGUGAGAGGGUUAAACAACCCAGCGAAGAGAGAUGCCAUAAGGGCGUUUGUCACCACUGUGAGAGUGAAUGUAGUUUGCAUGCAAGAAACUAAGAUGGAAGUCAUUGACCGCUACACCGUGCUUCAAUGCCUCGGGUCGUCCUUUGAUGGCUUCGCUUUCUUGCCUGCCGUAGAUACGAGAGGUGGAGUUCUCAUCGCAUGGGAUUCGACCUGUAUUGACAUCGACCACUUUCAGGCGAAUACGGAUUUCAUCUCGGGGCGAGUUCAUAUGAGACAAGGUCCUGGUGGAUCUCCGCGGUCUACGGACCGCAAGGAAACACCCGGAAAACUGCGUUCCUGGAGGGCUCCACGUAGCUCGUGUGCUCUGGCCAGGGUCGUGGAUGAUCCUUGGCGAUUUUAA